rnacentral:rRNA from 1 species
GAUGAACGCUGGCGGCGUGCCUAAUACAUGCAAGUCGAGCAAACGGACGAGAAGCUUGCUUCUCUGAUGUUAGCGGCGGACGGGUGAGUAACACGUGGAUAACCUACCUAUAAGACUGGGAUAACUUCGGGAAACCGGAGCUAAUACCGGAUGAUAUUUUGAACCGCAUGGUUCAAAAGUGAAAGACGGUCUUGCUGUCACUUAUAGAUGGAUCCGCGCUGCAUUAGCUAGUUGGUAAGGUAACGGCUUACCAAGGCAACGAUGCAUAGCCGACCUGAGAGGGUGAUCGGCCACACUGGAACUGAGACACGGUCCAGACUCCUACGGGAGGCGGCAGUAGGGAAUCUUCCGCAAUGGGCGAAAGCCUGACGGAGCAACGCCGCGUGAGUGAUGAAGGUCUUCGGAUCGUAAAACUCUGUUAUUAGGGAAGAACAUAUGUGUAAGUAACUGUGCACAUCUUGACGGUACCUAAUCAGAAAGCCACGGCUAACUACGUG